CAAGCCGGCCAUAGCGUCAGGGCGCGACCCAACCCCUUUCCGAACUUGGAAGUCAAACCUGGCGUCGCUGUCGUGGUACUAAGAUGCGAGAGCCCUUGGGAAGCGGCAGUGCUGGCAUCG
rnacentral:rRNA from 1 species